GUGGUGGUGCAUGGCCGUUCUUAGUUGGUGGAGUGAUUUGUCUGGUUAAUUCCGUUAACGAACGAGACCCCCGCCUGCUAAAUAGCACGAGGAAUGCUUCGCAUUGCUUGAUUGCUUCUUAGAGGGACUUUGUGUGACUAACACAAGGAAGUUGGGGGCAAUAACAGGUCUGUGAUGCCCUUAGAUGUCCUGGGCCGCACGCGCGCUACACUGAUGCAUGCAACGAGUUUAUAACCUUGGCCGGGAGGCCUGGGUAAUCUGUGAACGUGCAUCGUGAUAGGGAUAGAUUAUUGCAAUUAUUAAUCUUGAACGAGGAAUUCCUAGUAAACGCAAGUCAUCAGCUUGCAUUGAUUACGUCCCUGCCCUUUGUACACACCGCCCGUCGCACCUACUGAUCGAAGGUCAUGAUGAGCCCUCAGGAUAGGGAGUUGUUCCCUCACGGGAGCUUUUUUCUAGAAUUUGUGCAAAUCUUGCCUUAGAGGAAGGUAAGUCAACCUGGG
rnacentral:rRNA from 1 species